UGAAUUGAAUAUAAAAGUUAAUUAUUUAAUAAAAUCAUAUUUCAUUAAUUUUGAAAACUUAUGAAUUAUAAUUUUUUUUAUAAUAUAAUUUGUAUAUUUGUUUAUAUUGUGUAUCAGUGAAUUUAAUUAAAGAUAUUAAAGUUAAAAUGAGUCGGGUCAGAUCCAAAGCUAAAAAUGGGUCGGAGUCAGAUCCAAAUAAGAGUAGAUAACCAUACGAACUGUAACUCGUAACGUGUGUUGUAUAUGCAUAAAGAAAUCGGGUGAAGAAAGAAAUACUAUCCCAACAACUCUCUUUCUCCUUCUUCCACUGCAACCCUAAAGUCAUUACCUAAUGUGAAUCACGUGUUAUCAUCCUCAUUUCCAACUUAGCGCUUAUUCCAUUUCCAUUUGUUCUGUCCCUAAUUUGAACGAAUUUUGAGUACGUAGUGCACGUGCUCCUGUAGUCGAGAAGAAGAAGAGAGAAGGUAGGCCCAAUAAGCGAUCGAAGCAUUUGGUGGGUAAUCACGUUAAAACUCGAGCGACUGCAGCUAGGGAAGCGGCGGCGGUUGGUGUUGAGCCGAAGCAACAAAAGAAGCCGAGGCUGCCGACUAAGAAGAAGAAAGAGGGUUUAGCAAAAUAGUCGGUGGUUGUCAUUUCUGAAACAGAGGAGGAUAAAAAGCAAACAAAGGAAACCGGAGAAGAGACAUUCAAAGUAGCAAUGACGGAUGUAAGCGGUGGCUAAAGCGCUAACAGGGUUACAGGCCAGGAAGAAGAAGGCAAUACCGCCCCAUUUCAUGAAAGGGUUCAAGUAGGUGGAUCACCUCAAUAUAAGGUCAAAAGAAAAUUAGGGAAAGGUGGAUUUGGUUAGGUAUUUGUUUGUCGUCGUGUAUCUGGUGGAACUGAUCACAUAUCAGGUCAUGGUGCUACAGAGGUAGCUCUUAAGUUUUAGCAUAGAAACAGCAAAGGCUGCAGUUAUGGUCCUCCAUACGAGUGGCAAGUUUAAAAUAAUAUGGAUGGGAGUCAUGGAGUGCCUAAAGUUCAUUAUAAAGGAAAACAAAUAGAUUACUAUGUUAUGGUCAUGGACAUGUUGGGGCCUAGUUUGUGGGAUGUUUGGAAAUUCCUUAUGGACAAACGAUGUCAUCAGAAAUGGUGGCUUGUAUAGAUGUGGAAUCUUUAUCAAUUUUGCAAAAGAUGCAAUGAAGAGGUUAUGUGCAUGGAGAUAUAAAGCCAAAGAAUUUUUUAGUUGGUCAACCAUCAACAACUCAGUAGAAGAAACUAUUUCUUAUUGACUUAGGGCUAGCAACAAAGUGGAGAGAAAGUUCAAAUGGUCAACAUGUUGACUACGAUAAAAGGCCUGACAUGACAUGUUUAGCGUUGCAGAAUUAAUAGGGAGGAAAACGAUUCUGCAGUAAACCUGGUACCGACAAGAAGGAUUGAAGAAAAACUCAAGAAGAAUAACGUUUUGAAAGAAUUUUAUGGAGCAAAAUCCUGAAAACUAAAUAAGCGUAUAAAUGGUAUAAUUAUAUAUAUUUCGGAAUUUGAUAAAUAGGGGCAGAUUUUUUGGGAUUUAAUCACUGCAAUUUAUUUAAUUUCUAAUCACAAUUAACAAACUGCCAUAUUAAAUCGGCUUUUUCAAAUUUCAAAUUUGAAGAACCGAUUU